rnacentral:lncRNA from 1 species
GGAAAAUAGGAGUAAAAUGGGUUUCCAUAAAGUGAAAACUUCCAAUGCAUUUCAACAAUAUUGUCAGAUGGUCAGGAAUGGAUUACAGCUGACACGGUCAGUUCUGCUGCCUGUCAACCGUCAAACAAGUGGUAUUGGCUACUUACAAAACCUGGUGGAUUUGUUGAUCAGCAGUGUUGCGGGAACCCCCCCCUACCAUCAGUAGCGGUGAGUGGGUAAAAUCACUGGGGAAGCCAAGCCAGGUAAAAAAAAGCCAUUUAACCUAUGUGUUGUGAUAAUUGGGUUGUUGGCUCUAUAACGUGUUUGUUCAUAUGCCUUGCCAACGUGAUAUAUAGGCCUAAAGACGAGACAAUAAGAAGACACAGUGGCAGAAUAAAUUCAACCACACCUUUGUUUCAUCACAAAACCGGAGAGCAAAAUCUGCCCAGUGAAGUCCACAAAGCAUUUUGCAUGUAACAAACAGUUGCAUGACCUUCAGCAUAGUCAAGCAAGUUAAUGUUUCCGACAUAUUCGACUACUAAACAACCAUUGAUUUAAAAAAAGUUCUGAAUCCACUAUUCCAACAUAGAAUGCCAAUCAUUUCAACUUCAAUAUUUCAACGUCAUCAAAUCACCUAUGCUUAGUUUAAUAAAGUGACAACUAAAAGAUACCAAAAACAACCAAUCAACGUAAGCUAAAUAUGAUGUGGCUGUCCAUGGUACUGAUUUGUGUGUGCGUGUCUGUCUGCAUGCGUGCAAGUAGAAAAAACAUGUUGACUCUCCCUACUUGUAGAGAAACGCCAAUGACAUCCUCCUCGCUUUCAUAUUGCCGAAACGGUCUAUGACUCUGUCAUACAGUACAAGCUUUUCGUUUUUAUUGUCCUAGGCUACCUAGCUAAAAUGCUUGCACACUAGCCUAACUUCCUUUCAUGGGCAACAAUGCGCCAGGCCAGCUAGUUAACAUUAGCCUACUAUAUCUAGCUACAUAUUGAACUUCCAUCCUCUCAAGUCAGAGGCACAAUGUAUGAAUUUAUGGUCGGAUCAGAAUCACCAUUAUAAUUACUGGCCAGUACGGAGAAUUAAGUAAAACCAGUCCAAAUCCCUAUUUCCAUCCAUGGCUAAUUUAGGAAAGGGACAAUUUAAGUUAGCUAACUAGCCACCGGAGGACAACGACACAAUGAGAUGCAACAGUUCAAGUUUUUUUCUGUAAAUUACGUUCUUAUUUUGAUGUGAACAGUGUGAAGCCAAAUCCAAACUGGCUUCUCUUAACACUUUUUUUUGGUGCACCAGGACCAUUCACAGUUGAGCUCGCUCAGUUUAGCUCAAUGCUGAUUUGCUAUUAUUUUAUUUAUUUAUGUUUAUCAAGGGAGGCCAAAUGCUCGCUGGCUUCCAUUGUAUUCAAUGCUUUGGGCGGCAACAAUGUCAUAUUAUUUUUGGCCAGACAGCGUCAGUUAAAUGGUCUACACAUGCUGAGAAAGAGGGGCGCUGUUUCACUCGCUCGGAUGCUUUCUCUGGUGAGAUACUUUUGUAUAUAUAGUUUAUGUGGACAUCCAUUCAAAUUAGUGGAUUUGGCUAUUUCAGCCACACCCGUUGCUAACAGGUGUAUGAAAUCGAGGACACAGCCAUGCAAUCUCCAUAGACAAACAGUGGCAGUAGAAUGGCCUUACUGAGGAGCUUAGUGACUUUCAACAAAGAAUGCCAACAAUUCAGUUCAUAACAUUUCAGCACUGCUAGAGCUGCUCCAGUCAACUGUUAGUUGUGUUAUUGUGAAUUGGAAACGUCUAGAAGCAACAAAAUCUCAGCCGCAAAGUGGUAGGCCACACAAGCUCACAAUAUGGGACUGCCGAGUGCUGGAGCAUAUGGCACGUAAAAAUCAUCUGUCCUUGGUUGCAACACUCACUACCAAAUUCUGAAGUGCCUCUCGAAGCAAUGUCAGCACAAGAACUGUUCGUCGGGAGCUUCAUGAUAUGGGUUUCCAUAGCCAAUUAGCUGCACACAAGCCUAAGAUCUGCAUGCACAUGCCAAGUGUCAGCUGGAGUGGUGUAAAGCUUGCCGCCAUUAGAGCGUCCUCUGGAGUGAUGAAUCCCGCUUCACCACCUGGCCGUCUGACAGCCAAAUCUGGGUUUGGCGGAUGCCAGGAGAAUGCUACCUGCCCGAAUAAAUAGUGCCAACUGUAAAGUUUGGUGGAGGAGGAAUAAUAGUCUUGGGCUGUUUCAUGGUUCGGGCAAGGCCUCUUAGUUCCAGUGAAGGGACAUCUUAACACUAUAGCAUACAAUGACAUUCUAGACAAUUCUGUACUUCCAACUUUAUGCAAACAGUUUGUGGAAGGCCCUUUUCUGUUUCAGCAUGACAAUGCCCCCGUGCACAAAGCGAGGUCCAUACAGAAAUGGUUUGUCAAUAUCGUUGUGGAAGAACUUGACUGGCCUGCACAGAGCCCUGACCUCAACCCCAUCGGACACCUUUGGGAUGAAUUGGAACUCUGGCCUAAUCGCCCAACAUCAGUGCCCGACCUCACUAAUUCUCAUGGCUGAAUGGAAGCAAGUCCCUGCAGCAAUGUUCCAACAUCUAGUGGAAAGCCUUCCCAGAAGAUUGAAGGCUGUUAGAGCAUCAAAGGGGGGACCAACUCCAUAUUAAUGCCCAUGAUUUUGGAAUGAGAUGUUUGACGAGCAGGUGUCCACAUACUUUUGGUCAUGUAGUGUACGUUCAGGCUCUUGCGAAUUGAAGGAAAAUUAUGAAACAGAGAGAGACGAAAGAUACAUGAAUCUUUUUUUAUUGAUAACAUUUUUGGAGAAGCCUGGCUUCCCUUGGCAUCCAUGAGUAUAUGCCACUGACUACCAUAUCAGGUGCUGUUACAGAAGGCUGAGGCCAGACCCCAGUUCUGCUUCAGAGUAAUGGAAGACACUUGAAUCAGCUUGCUCACAUUUGAUCUGCUCAACGGUCAAACUACUUUAUGUCCUGGAAUUCACCUAAGCACCAUUAAUAAUGUAAUCUGUGAUGUGUGUCUUGUAUGUUGUAAGGAGGUGCCCCCUUCUACUGUGCCAAUGGACUACUCAUGGGCCCAAUAGAGUAGUGUCAACCAGUCAGUACUCUGCUGGCACGUAUCCCUUGUGAAUUAGCUGUAAAUCAGGAUCUCUGAUUGGCUGUUCAACCGUGUAUUUAUUGUUGGCUUCCAUGACUGUAUGGUAACAGUCCUUCUCUGUCCUCCUCUGUGGUAUGGGAGCUGGGUCCAAUAUAGGAGCUUAUCUAUGCUGCAAUGCAAUCAGGCAUUGGUAAACACCUCAGAAGGGACAAAAGGUGAUUACUAAUAAGACACCACAUUACAAGUGUUUAUUAAUAUCACCCUUUCAAUAUAUGUCACACAUCAACUCUUCCUAAUAAGUUCAGGAAUUGCAAUCAAUAGCAAUAUUGAUUGCAAUCAAUAGCAAUAUUACUCUGUAGGCUACUGACUCCUGGAGGAACCUUUGCAUUUGUCAGUAGCCUACAGAGUGGUAUGAUAAGAGUGCCAUCCAACAGCAUCUCACAUCUGCCUGUAGUUAUUGAACUGUGCCUGCUGGACCCAUGAGGCAUACUCUGUCAUAUCCAGGAUGAAGUGUCAUGCACUCCACCCUUCAUGCAACCUGACUGAACCUCUCCAUAACCUGUAAACCAUUACAUAGAUGGAAGGGACUUCAUCACCCACUGGAAACUUGAAGACAGAACCUCACCCAGAGGGCUGUGCAUGUCAAUGUGUGGUUAGACAGCCAAAUCCUUAGAUUUGGCCAAAUAGACAAAUAGAAUGCAUUCUAGUUCUGGUUAGACAGCUGAAGUUAUACUCUACAGACAACUUAUUUUUAUUUACUAGGUAAGUGUAGGCAUGCUGUCUUGAUAAGCACAUCAAUAUGAUAUUUACAGCAAAAAAAUUGGUCUUUGUAACACAAACACAGUCACCAAUUUUUGUUGUUGAUGUAUCUACGCUCAAGCUGGGCAUUGUUUGUGCAAUGUCCACAUGUAGCCUAUACCUGUUGUAGGGAUAUUAUUAGUUUUACCUUUUAUUUAACUAGGCAAGUCAGAUAACAACAAAUUCUUAUACAAUGACGGCCUACCCCAGUUAAACCCGGACGACGCUGGGCCAACUGUUCAGUGCCCUAUGGGACUCCCAAUCACAGCUGGAUGUGAUACAGCCUGGAUUUGAACCAGGGACUGUAGUGACACCUCUUGCACUGAAAUUCAGUGCAUAAGACCACUGCGCCACUCAGGAGCAAGUUCUGGGGUUUGUCUCCAGAAAAGCUCUAACAGCGAACAUAAGGAGAGACGAGACUGGAAAGUUAUAGAAUAUUGUGUUUUAGGACAGCUGAGGGUGACUCAAGACCAGGCAUUCAAUUCACAGUUGAUACAAUUUCCAUGGUAACAUGUAUUUACAUAAUGAAACUUUGAAACUGAGUUGCAAGCUAUUUUCGUAGCAAGAUUUUUUUCAACUAACUAGACAAGUCAGUUAAGAACAAAUUCUUAUUUACAAUGACAGCCUACCAGGGAACAGUGGGUUAACUGCCUUGUUCAAGGGCAGAAUGACAUAUUUUUACCCCCAAGGUGUUGUAGAAGUGUCUUAUGAAACACAUUCCAGACACUGGCUCUUGCUAUCUUAGCAUAAAUUAUUUGACAGAGAAAUAUAUUUAUGUUGUUCAUAUAUAUAUACUGUACAUACUCCGGACUCUGACAUUGCUCGUCCUAAUAUUUAUAUACAGUAUUUCUUUAUUCCUUUCUUUUACAUUAAGAUUUGUGUGUAUUGUUGUGAAUUGUUAGAUAUUUCUGCACCCUCAAUCCCAUCUGCUAAAUAUGUGUAGGCGACCAAUUUGAUUUGUUAAAAUACAGUGCAUUCGGAAAGUAUUCAGACUCCUUCACUUUCUCCACAUUUUGUUGUGUUACAGCCUUAUUCUAAAAUGUAUUGAAUAGUUUUUUCCCAUCAUCAAUCUACACACAAUACCCCAUAAUGACAAAAUAAAAACAGGUUUGUAGAAUGUUUUGCAAAUGUAAAAAAAAAAAAAAAAAACCCCGAUAUAUCACAUUUACACAGCGGUGGAAAAGUACCAAUUGUCAUACUUGAGUAAAAGUAUAGAUACCUUGUAAUAGAAAGUUACUAGAGUAAAAGUGAAAGUCAGCUAGUAAAAUACUACUUGAGUAAAAGUCUAAAAGUAUUUGGUUUUAAAUAUACUUAAGUAUCAAAAGAAAAAGGAUACAUCUUUUAAAAUUUCUUAUAUUAAUCAAAUCAAAUGUAUUUGUCACAUGUACCGAAUAAAACAGGUGCAGACCUUACCGUGCUUACUUACAAACCCUUAACCAACAAUGCAGUUAAGAAAAUAUUUACUAAAGUAACACAAUAAAAUAAAAAUAACGAGGCUACAGUAUAUACAGGGGCUACAGAUACCGAGUCAAUGUGCUGGGGAACAGGUUAGUCGAGGUAAUUGAGGUAAUACACCUUAGCCAAAUACAUUUAAACUCAGUUUGUCACAAUUCGUGACAUUUAAUCGUAGUAAAAAUCCCCUGUCUAAAGUCAGUUAGGAUCACCACUUUAUUUUGAGAAUGUGAAAUGACAGAAUAAUAGUAGUGAGAAUGAUUUAUUUCAGCUUUUAUUUCUUUCAUCACAUUCCCAGUGGGUCAGAAGUUUACAUACACUCAAUUAGUAUUUGGUAGCAUUGCCUUUAAAUUGUUUAACUUGGGUCAAACGUUGUUCCCGAGAAGCAGUAUAUCGUUCGCGUCGGGCUCGUCAGACUCGUUAAAGGAAAAAAAGGAUUCUGCCAGUCCGUUGUGAGUAAUCGCAGUCCUGAUGUCCAGAAGUUAUUUUCGGUCAUAAGAGAUGGUAGCGGCAACAUUAUGUACAAAAUAAGUAAAAAAACAAGUUACAAAAUACGCAAAUAAACUAACAAAAAAACACAAUCGGUUGGGGACACGUAAAAUGUCUGCCUUCUUCUCCGGUGCCAUAUGAUGGAGAGAGACACCAGAAUAACAGAACAGGCCGUAACAGAAGACGAUAGACAAAGAAGAUAGUAACAAACAAGAGCCUGAGACAGCAACAGGCAAGACACAGAGAAAGUGACAGAAUAGGGCAGAUGGAGAGAACAGAGGUUGGUUGAGCACACGGUAGACUGUAACACUUCAAGCUGCUCUAUAGAUUCUAAUUUAUUUAUUUGCACAUAUUAUUACAGGUGAAAUACAGACAUAUUAUUACAGGUGAAAUACAGACAUCGAAAAAGUAAAACAUGGUUUACAAAUAAUUUGCAGGUGAGGUGAAAAAGCCAGUGAAAUUGCUAUAAAAACUAUUGUUCACUUUUACACUUUUUACAACCGGCACAGGAUGAGGGUAGACAAGAGACAGCAAUAUAGAAUACUAAGAUACAGCAACAGAAGAGGACAGACAAAAGAGACAGCAUCAGACGACAGAGAAUGCAAUGGAGAGGAGGGGUGAGCACAUAGUCUACUAUCACUUAAAGCGCCGGGCCAUGCAAAACGAACUCGCCCAAUGUUGCAAAUGAUAGGGAAUAAACAAUCACGAUGAGGCAUCGCCAGCUGUGAACUCUGUAGCGCGCUUCAGACAACCACAGUGAAUGUAACUGUACAUCAAAUGUUGCAAUGUUAAAACGUUUGAUAUAAUUUUUUCCUACACGAUCACUUUGCUUACUCUUAAUUAUUGUCUACUAUGUUGGCAUGCAUAACCUUUUUAUUUUAUCAACACACUCGUCACUCCCAUUUAACAACUUAAAUCGCUUUGGCACAGUAAGCAUCCAGUCACUCAUUGAUAAUGUUGCAUUGCAUACAAUGUUGCAUACAAUGUUUUGAAAGGUCUAUCAUUUUCAUCGAAUACAAUCAAAGUUAACAUAAGCCCUAGAUGCAUUAAAUUGCCAAAUGUAUAGACAUGCCCAAUUUAGGCAUAUUUUCUUAUCAACGUGAUGUUGCGC